GUGCUUGCGUCAGUAGCAUGUAUACUUAAAAUUGAAAUGAUACAGAGAAGAUUAGCACAGGAUGAUAUGCAAAUUCAUGAAGCAUUCCAUAUUAAA
ensembl:snRNA U6 U6 spliceosomal RNA